AUGGCCAUUCUCUCGUCUCAAGACUAAGCCAUGCACGUCUAAGUAUAAAUGUUCAACUUUAAAACUGCGAAUGGCUCAUUAUAUCAGUUAUAGUUUUAUUGAUAGUCCCUUACUACUUGGAUAACCGUAGUAAUUCUAGAGCUAAUACAUGCAUCGACACCCAUUUUGGGUGGUAUUUAUUAGAUAGAAACCAACCCCUUUGGGGUGAUGUGGUGAUUCAUAAUAAGCUUGCGGAUCGCACGGCUUGUCCGGCGACGGAUCAUUCAAGUUUCUGCCCUAUCAGCUUUGGACGGUAAGGUAUUGGCUUACCAUGGCUUUAACGGGUAACGGGGAAUUAGGGUUCGAUUCCGGAGAGGGGGCCUAAGAGAUGGCCACCACAUCCAAGGAAGGCAGCAGGCGCGUAAAUUACCCAAUCUUGAAACAAGGAGGUAGUGACAAUAAAUAACAAUGCCGGGCCUUUAUAGGUCUGGCAAUUGGAAUGAGAACAAUUUAAAUCCCUUAUCGAGGAUCAAUUGGAGGGCAAGUCUGGUGCCAGCAGCCGCGGUAAUUCCAGCUCCAAUAGCGUAUAUUAAAGUUGUUGCAGUUAAAAAGCUCGUAGUUGGACUUGUGCCCGUCCCUAGAUGUCCAUAUUGCUUGGUACGUUCUAGGGCGGGCAUCCUUGGGUGGAACCUGUGUGGCAUUAGGUUGUCGUGCAGGGGAUGCUCAUCGUUUACUGUGAAAAAAUUAGAGUGUUCAAAGCAGGCUUAUGCCGUUGAAUAUAUUAGCAUGGAAUAAUAAGAUAGGACCUUGGUACUAUUUUGUUGGUUUGCGCACCGAGGUAAUGAUUAACAGGGACAGUUGGGGGUAUUCGUAUUCCAUUGUCAGAGGUGAAAUUCUUGGAUUUUUGGAAGACGAACUACUGCGAAAGCAUUUACCAAGGAUGUUUUCAUUAAUCAAGAACGAAAGUUAGGGGAUCGAAGAUGAUUAGAUACCAUCGUAGUCUUAACCAUAAACUAUGCCCACAAGGGAUUGGCGGGGCUUGUCGUUACGUCUCCGUUCAGCACCUUAUGAGAAUCACAAGUUUUUGGGAUUCUGGGGGGAGUUAUGGUCGCACGGCUGAAACUUGAGAAUUGACGAAAGGUCAGCAAGGAGGAGUGCAGCUGCAGCUGAGUCUUGACUCACUAGUGUGAACUUAACCAGGGUCAAGACGUACGGGAGCAAUUGACAGGAGUGGAGGAAGCG
rnacentral:rRNA from 1 species